rnacentral:rRNA from 1 species
AUUGAACGCUGGCGGCAGGCCUAACACAUGCAAGUCGAGCGGCUGAAGGGUGCUUGCUCCUCUAUUCCGCGCCGGUCGGGUGAGUAAUGCCUAUGUAUCUGCCUGUUAGUGGUGGAUAACGUCCGGCAACGGGCGCUAUUACCGCAUCCGUCCUGACGGUGAUAGUGGGGGAUCUUCGGACCUCUCGCUUUCCUAUUUCCCUAGGUCGGAUUAGCUAGUUGGUGGGGUAAAGGCCUACCAAGGCGACGAUCCGUAACUGGUCUGAGAGGAUGAUCAGUCACACUGGAACUGAGACACGGUCCAGACUCCUACGGGAGGCAGCAGUGGGGAAUAUUGGACAAUGGGCGAAAGCAUGAUCCAGCCAUGCCGCGUGUGUGAAGAAGGUCUUCGGAUUGUAAAGCACUUUAAGUAGGGAGGAAGGGAAGUAAGUUAAUACCUGGCUGUGUUGACGGUACCAAAAGAAUAAGCACCGGCUAACUACGUG